CGCACUUACCCCGACGCCUUUCUACGCUCUGGCUGGCUGCAGUGUCCAUCGCUGCCACCAACCACAAACAGGGCUGCAAACAGGAAGGAUUUUAUUCACCGUCCAUGCGGCCCCGAGUUGUCCCAAAGCGAGGCAGUGCCCCCAAGGUCUGUGCAGAGCAGAACGCAGCUCCGCCCUCGCGGUGCCACCGGCCCGCCCGCCCGGGUCUCUGCUGAGGAGAACAUUGCUCUGCCUUCGCUGUAUCUCCGAAGUGUGUGCAGAGGAGAACUCAGCUCCGCCCUCGCAAUGCUCUCCGGGUCUGUGCUGAGGAGAACGCAGCUCCGCCCUCGCAAAGGCACACAGCGCUGGCGCCGGCGUGGCGGAGAGGCGGACGGCGGCGGAGAGGCGGCCAGCGGCGGCGCGGCGGAGAGGCGGAUAGCGGCGGAGAGGCGGACAGCGGCGGCGCGGCGGAGAGACGGACAGCGGCGGAGAGGCGGACAGCGGCGGAGAGGCGGACAGCGGCGGCGCGGCGGAGAGACGGACAGCGGCGGAGAGGCGGACAGCGGCGGCGCGGCGGAGAGACGGAUAGCGGCGGAGAGGCGGACAGCGGCGGCGCGGCGGAGAGGCGGACAGCGGCGGAGAGGUGGACAGCGGCGGAGAGGCGGACAGCGGCGGCGCGGCGGAGAGACGGACAGCGGCGGAGAGGCGGACAGCGGCGGCGCGGCGGAGAGGCGGACAGCGGCGGCGCGGCGGAGAGACGGACAGCGGCGGAGAGGCAGACAGCGGCGGCGAGGCGCGCAGCGGCGGCGCAGGCGCGGAGAGGCGCUGGCGCCGGCUCUGGCGCGGAGAGGUGCAGGCCCAGGCUCCACUCCCCAGCUGUGAAAGGGUUUUCUGCCUCCUGCUAAGCCAAUUUAUACAUUCCAAGAAAAUCUUCCAUUUCAUCCAGGUGAAACGGAACCUACUGGAAUGAAGCUGGCCUCCCAUGGAAUGAAGCUGGCCUCCCGUCUCCUUGAUUUGAAGCAGCUUCUCCACGUUGGUUAUUAUGCCAUUUUUCUAAAUCUAACAUUUUAAAAUUUGUGCCUUUUCUUUCUCUUUUGCUUGACUUCUCAGAGGUUUUUUUAACGGUCUUUUCAAAGAAGUGGUUUUGGGUUUUAUUUAUCAAGUCUACUUUUAUUAUGGCUGUUUUAAAAUUAAAUACAUUUAUUUCUUGUUUCCC
rnacentral:lncRNA from 1 species